GGCUGCGGGCGCAUCGAUCCGUCCGCUCGCACCAAUCUCCAGCUUUAACCAGUCGAUGCUGCUGCUGGUCACAUCCCGCUCGCCGUCGUCUCCUCCGCUCAGCUUCCGGCUUUAAUAGAGCCCAGGAAUGUGGUCAGGUGACGCGCUGCUCCUGCUCCACGCGCCCGCAGCAGACGGCCUUUAUUUGUUAUUGUUUGUUGUUUGUUGCCGACGCCUGCUCUGAGGUGAAAUUACAGACUGAGUGCGUUUCAGACACGGUGGCUUCACGGAAUUGACAUUUGCCAUUUAGCGGAGUGAAAAUAAAUCUUCCCUUCACUCGCUUCCACUGGAUUUUCAAUUUCAGCUGCUGAUUAAAGCGUUGAAGGCUCUGAUGUUAAAACACGCCGCUGCUGUCGGAGGCUCAGAGCAAAGACGGGAGGAUAAAACCUGUUUGUAGCGAUGAAGGCCUGGAAGUCGACGCUGGGAAGAUUCAGGCUGGAAUCUGAAGCAGGAAGUGAAGCCUCAAAGGAGCAGAGGUGAAGAUGGACGCGGAGCUGGGGAGGGCAGGGGUCAGAGGUCAAACCCCAGAGGAUCCGAGGACGCGUGGAGGCACACAGGGACGCGCUGUUCGAUGGAGGGAGGCGCUGGACAGACACCGCCUGAACUCAGCCAGAGCUGAUGAACUUUAGCUUCUUUAGUUCGCACAUAAGCAGGUCGAGGAAGACGAUAAACUCGCUGUCAGAGGACUGUUCUGCGCUCGAUGGAGAAAAGCCUCCACGCUCACAGAUGAAAAGACUUAAGAGAAGCAGGGGGAAAGACUGGAACCUAAAUGUGCUGCAUAAGUAAUUUUUGAUCAAUACAUAACAUUAGGAAGUUUGGUCUUUGAAGCUCUGGUACCUUUCAUCACGGGAAGACAAGCGUUCAUCACUAGUGUCAGAACUCUGCAAAAAGUCUCAAGAACCUGUUUUAAGAAAUCAUUUCUCCCGCUUCAAUCUAUUGUGAGAUGAUGACAGAACACAAACACACACACACACAGACCCACUGUAUAGGACAGUUCCCGCUCCUCUGACCAUAAUAAACCAGUUUAAUACCAGUAUAAACAUGAACAUGUGA